GAUGAAGAACGUAGCGAAAUGCGAUAAGUAAUGUGAAUUGCAGAAUUCAGUGAAUCAUCGAAUCUUUGAACGCACAUUGCGCCCCCUGGUAUUCCGGGGGGCAUGCCUGUUCGAGCGUCAUUUCACCACUCAAGCCUCGCUUGGUAUUGGGCAACGCGGUCCGCCGCGUGCCUCAAAUCGACCGGCUGGGUCUUCUGUCCCCUAAGCGUUGUGGAAACUUUCGCUAAAGGGUGUUCGGGAGGCUACGCCGUAAAACAACCCCAUUUCUAAGGAUGACCUCGGAUCAGGUAGGGAUACCCGCUGAACUUAAGCAUAUCAAUAAGCGGAGGA
rnacentral:misc_RNA from 1 species